AUGGUUGCGCCUCCCAUGGAGCUCCCCCGCUGGGACUCCUCCUCGCCUGCACCGCUGCCGUCCAUCUCCUCCGCCUGGAGCUUGCGCAGCCGUGCGCCCAGAGGUCGCCGCCCGCUCCUCCCUCCACCCCGCCUCUGCGCCGUCGUUCCCCAUGGCCCCUGCCGACCAAGCUCAGGGGACCGCCGCUCCACCUCGUUGCCAUGGCGGCUGCCUGUUUAUCGCCCACCGACUGGAGCCGCCCUUCCCCGUCGUCUCUCAAUGCCACCGGAGUCCCUGCGCGCCUCGUCCCUACCUCCGGAUGCGCCAAGCUCAUCGCCGUCCUCGCCCUGCGAGCUCACCACCGCACCGCUGCCUCGCUGCAGCUGCUCCUUCGCUGUCAUGUUCUGUUGCCUCCCGCGUCCGGUCGCCGCCGGUGCCCACGACCAGCGUUGUGCCUCUGCUCGUGGAUGCCGCUGCCAGUGUGCGCACCCUGCUGCUACUUCGUCGGCCGCCUCCCUUCGUGACCACCAAGAACCGAGGCCAAUUUUGUUGCUUCGUUUGGAUGCGUCAAGUUCCUCUACUAGCCGUGCAUGCCUCUGGAUUCGUCCAAGUUCUGACGAUGCUUUUGUACAACUACGCCGUGGAGACCAAGACCGGCAAGUCCACGCGGGAUCCCGAACAACUACUUCCACGAUGAUGCGAGUACAAGUACCCUCGACGUGUUUUUCGCCAAGUAUCGCGACACCCAGAUCCCUCGGAUCAGUCAAGUUCAUCUACGAAAACAUGUAUGACCGUCGUCGAAACCGCAAAGUACCUCUACACACGGAUAUCGCUAAGUACCACGAUACCGACGACAUCCACUACUACUGUCGCCGAGGGUUUUGUCAAGUUCAACUUCUUUGGCUACAAACGAUGAUGACCCAAACAUCUAUGGACGUGUACGACCACCGUUGCCCGAAGAACCGUGAGUCACAAGCGCCGAGAACAACUACCGUCGACCCUCGAAGCCUCCGUGGACGUCAAGUCCCUCGUCGUGAUCCCGAACAUCUACGGAAAAUUGUGCAACUAAGAACGUGA
rnacentral:rRNA from 1 species